rnacentral:tRNA from 1 species
GCCUAGUUGAUGAAAUUGGUAGACAUUUGGGACUUAAAAUCCCAUGGAAGUAAUUCCAUGUCGGUUCGACUCCGACACUAGGUACCA